rnacentral:rRNA from 1 species
GACGAACGCUGGCGGCGUGCUUAACACAUGCAAGUCGAACGGAAAGGCCCUGCUUUUGUGGGGUGCUCGAGUGGCGAACGGGUGAGUAACACGUGAGUAACCUGCCCUUGACUUUGGGGUAACUUCAGGAAACUGGGGCUAAUACCGGAUAGGAGCUCCUGCUGCAUGGUGGGGGUUGGAAAGUUUCGGCGGUUUGGGAUGGACUCGCGGCUUAUCAGCUUGUUGGUGGGGUAGUGGCUUACCAAGGCUUUGACGGGUAGCCGGCCUGAGAGGGUGACCGGCCACAUUGGGACUGAGAUACGGCCCAGACUCCUACGGGAGGCAGCAGUGGGGAAUAUUGCACAAUGGGCGGAAGCCUGAUGCAGCAACGCCGCGUGCGGGAUGACGGCCUUCGGGUUGUAAACCGCUUUCGCCUGUGACGAAGCGUGAGUGACGGUAAUGGGUAAAGAAGCACCGGCUAACUACGUG